GUCCACGCCGUAAACGAUGGGCACUAGGUGCCGGGGGGAGCGACCCCUUCGGUGCCGCAGCUAACGCGAUAAGUGCCCCGCCUGGGGAGUACGGCCGCAAGGCUGAAACUCAAAGGAAUUGACGGGGGCCCGCACAAGCGGUGGAGCAUGUGGUUUAAUUCGAAGCAACGCGAAGAACCUUACCUAGGUUUGACAUGCUGGUGAAAGCCCGACGAAAGUUGGGCCCUUCUUCGGAACACCAGCACAGGUGCUGCAUGGCUGUCGU
rnacentral:rRNA from 1 species